AUUGAACGCUGGCGGCAUGCUUUACACAUGCAAGUCGAACGGCAGCGGGGGCUUCGGCCUGCCGGCGAGUGGCGAACGGGUGAGUAAUGCAUCGGAACGUACCCAGUCAUGGGGGAUAACUACGCGAAAGCGUAGCUAAUACCGCAUACGCCCUGAGGGGGAAAGCGGGGGAUCGCAAGACCUCGCGUGAUUGGAGCGGCCGAUGUCGGAUUAGCUAGUUGGUGGGGUAAAGGCCUACCAAGGCGACGAUCCGUAGCGGGUCUGAGAGGAUGAUCCGCCACACUGGGACUGAGACACGGCCCAGACUCCUACGGGAGGCAGCAGUGGGGAAUUUUGGGACAAUGGGCGCAAGCCUGAUCCAGCCAUGCCGCGUGUCUGAAGAAGGCCUUCGGU
rnacentral:rRNA from 1 species